CCUAUUCCUGGCAAUUUUUAAAAUGUCAGGAUAUAUACCUCCAUGGAGCUCAACCCAUGUAGAAAAUCACUGAAUCCCAUGCAGAGUCCAGAGACAGAGUCAACUUCAAGUCUGAUCCGAUCCGGAGGCUCUGGAUCAACUUGCCUUGCCUUGGUCCGAGAGAGGUGUCACUCACAGGCUCACAGGGAGAAAGGAUCUUACUGUGUUGUCCUGGCUGCUUCUCUCAACAGUGUCGGGAAGAGGAGAGACCAGUGCAUCUUGAGGCUCUGUCUGCAAGGUCACCAGCCCACGUCUAAUUUCCCUCCAGGCUUUGCAGAACUGAUUUGGGUCUUUGCUCAAUCUUAAACCCAUCUUGUCUGCAGAAGAACGCCAUUCUCUGAUGGAUCCUCGUCUGGAUUUCUGAAUCAAUCUCCAACACAGAGGAUGAAAUAUAAUGGACAUUUCUCCAUUGGGAUCCACUCUUGUUCUGCUUUCCUGAAGCGGAUGGGCAACACUUCCAGAGGCUCUAGAAUGGUGGUGAGGAGGUGGAUACAGCCUGCCCCUCACCCUGGACCUCACAGCAUCCCUUCAAACGAGCACCACAGUGUUCAUCUGAACAAACGUGAAUCAAUGAGUCAGUAGGGUGUCACCCGCUAAGGAAGGAAGCCAGGUGGAAGUGCCUCUAUCGGCAUUGCUUCCUGAGAGUCGUUCUGACCUGGGUGGUAGGGUCGGGCAGGAUCUUCAGCACUUAGAGUAAGGGAGUCUGGCGAGGAGGUCAGCCUUCAUCCUCUGGUCCUGCAGUCAUUCACACGUUCACUGGUCUCCACCCCCACGGACUUUGCUCAGAGGUUCUAUUCAUGAGACCUGUUUCGCUCUACCCGGCCCCAAUUCACCAGGAGGAGACACACGCGCACCAGAAGGCAAGAAUCACCAGGUGGCAUCUUGAAGGAUAAUCCCCCACAGAAAGAGAAUCUUGCAGACCUAUUCAUUAAUCCAAGAAACAGGCGUGGAGUCGUUACUUUGCUCCCCGGGUGACUCUUUCUAGACCUGGAUGAUACAUUUAGCCAACAGGACAGAAAAAGGUCAAGGGCUUACAGAGUUGACGGUCCAGCAGAGACAAGUCAAGGCCACCAGACAGAUCACGGGCAUAAGGAACGAGACGGUGGUCAUGCAAUUCCUGAACCGUGACACAGGCACUCUGCACAGCUGGUGAGCGAUUGGAUGUGGCAGGUGAGGAUCAGCUGCCGUGUGUGUUUCGGGGUUGGGCCGCGCGAGUGGAUGGUGGUAUCUUUCCCUGGGACAAAGAAAAAACUGGAAAGUGGGUAGGAUCUGGAGAAGGAUCAUCAACGUAGUGUUGGGCAUAUUGAAUGGAAGGAAUUCAUGGACCAGCAGCUGAUGGCCAGAAGGUCAUUGGCCGGAGAACCAGAAAUCAGGAUAUUGCCAAAGGGUGCAAAAGGAGGUCAUUUUUGAUGGGAAGAGUUUGAGAGAUGUAGAGUUGGAAAAAGAAAGCUGAGGAGUGGGAGAGAGAGAGAGAGAAAGAGAAAGAGAGAGAGAGAGAGAGAGCGCAUGCGCGCACUAGCUUUUAAAUCAUUGCAGACUCUUUUUAUCCUAUUGACACAUACAUGCAUUCGGAGGCAUUAUCUGAAUUAAAUGUCCACCGCUGAAGUUAUUUUAGUAUCUGGGAAGCUGCCAGCCCUCCCCAUUUCCUUCAGCUGUAAUGCAUAGCUCCAUUAGAUGAGAUGAACAGGAUUAUUUGGGACAAGUUGGGAAAAAAAAAAAAAAA